rnacentral:rRNA from 1 species
UACGUAGGGGGCUAGCGUUGUCCGGAAUCAUUGGGCGUAAAGGGCGCGUAGGCGGCCAGGUAAGUCCGGUGUGAAAGUCACAGGCUCAACCUGUGAAUGCCGCUGGAAACUGUCUGGCUAGAGUCCGGAAGGGGCGAGUGGAAUUCCUGGUGUAGCGGUGAAAUGCGCAGAUAUCAGGAGGAACACCAAUGGCGAAGGCAGCUCGCUGGGACGGUACUGACGCUGAGGCGCGAAAGCGUGGGGAGCAAACAGG